rnacentral:rRNA from 1 species
AUUGAACGCUGGCGGAAUGCUUUACACAUGCAAGUCGAACGGCAGCACGGACUUCGGUCUGGUGGCGAGUGGCGAACGGGUGAGUAAUGUAUCGGAACGUGCCCAGUCGUGGGGGAUAACGUCGUGAAAAUUACGCUAAUACCGCAUACGAUCUAUGGAUGAAAGCGGGGGAUCGCAAGACCUCGCGCGAUUGGACCGGCCGAUAUCAGAUUAGGUAGUUGGUGGGGUAAAGGCACACCAAGCCAACGAUCUGUAGCUGGUCUGAGAGGACGACCAGCCACACUGGAACUGAGACACGGUCCAGACUCCUACGGGAGGCAGCAGUGGGGAAUUUUGGACAAUGGGCGAAAGCCUGAUCCAGCCAUUCCGCGUGCAGGAUGAAGGCCCUCGGGUUGUAAACUGCUUUUGUACAGAACGAAAAGGUUUCUACUAAUACUAGGAGCUCAUGACGGUACUGUAAGAAUAAGCACCGGCUAACUACGUGCCAGCAGCCGCCGUAA